CCAGUGCUAAGGCCCUCCUCUUGACUCUGAUUGGUUGUUUUCCGACGUUUACUCAGACGGCAACAGGUGUAAUUUCUGGUACAAUGCCAUUUUACGCCAAAAGAUGGCAGUAGUGGUGCAUGAGCGCGAGAUUGACUUCCAAGCCGUAGGAGGCGUCAAACGUCACCACGUGCCCGUUCAAACCGAGCCUCGACGAUGGAGAAGUUUUCUAACAGUCACCGGCGUCGCAGCCUCUACUAGAGAAUCUGAUUUCUGUCUUCAUAGAAUAAAGACGCUCUGUUCCAUACAAAUUAGUGUGUAGCAAAGUGAGUCUGGGCGACUUGUGAAAGCUGAGUGAGGCUGCACCGCAGCUCUACAGACUCCCACAAGGCGUGGCUUCGCCGUUUGGUAGAGAGAAGUUAUUUUUUUUUCUCUCUGAGCAUCUCAUUCCUGUGAGCUGAGCACUGAGAGUUCACAAGAACUCUGCCCUCAUCACAACUUCUCCUGCAAAACCAUGAAGACGAUCACUAUUGAGUAUUGUAAAGACUGAAGUUAUGCAUACCGCUACCAGGAACUAGCCGGCGUUCUCCGGCAGAUUCCUGGAGUGAAGGUAAAAGGAGUCGCCGGGAGGAAAGAUAGCUUCGAGGUAUCCCUGGAGGAUGAACUUCUCCACUCAAAGCUAGAGACGAAGUCGUUUCCAGAUCCUGAGCAGAUGGCGGACCAGGUGAUGGAGAAGGUUUCCGAUGGAAAAGCCAAGAAGAAAUCCAAGAGACGGAUAUGCUCUGUCCAGUAAAAAGGUGGAGAAACAAACAGUUAUAGUCACACCGGCAAAAAACAAACAAACCGUAAACCUGUUAUGUGCGUCUGGAGUAUGAAAAUUAGAGUAAGGAUUUUAAUAAGUGGAUGCAAAAUCUGUGUGUACCAAACUGAAAAUAUCUGAUCCGUCUCUGUCGCGGCUGUGAAUAUAAACAACACCUUUGUGAGAGCGGCUGUCUGGGUCCAGGCGGCGAUCGACGCCUCUUUUUAUGAAUGCACACACCUAAAACUCAAGUGGUGUGUGCACGAUGCAAGACGAGGAGCUUCUCGACCGCCUGGAGCCCGAUGGUCUGCUUCAGUCCCAUCAAAGUCAUGAGAAACGGGGGGAAGGAGAGGAGAUGCUCCUUAGAGUGGACGACCAGGACUCUCAGGAACAGUCACUUAAUUUAUGCAAGACGUAUUUGAUGUUUUUAUGAUGUAAAAUAUCUCAUUAAUAUCCGUUUUCCUCUGUCAAAAGAUAAUUACAGAGGAGCAAUAAAACCAUCAAAUCUGG